rnacentral:rRNA from 1 species
UACGUAGGGUGCGAGCGUUAAUCGGAAUUACUGGGCGUAAAGAGUGCGUAGGCGGUUCUUGAAGUCCGCUGUGAAAGCCCCGGGCUUAACCUGGGAAUGGCAGUGGAAACUGGAGGACUUGAAUUGAGCAGAGGGGGGUGGAAUGCCGCGUGUAGCAGUGAAAUGCGUAGAGAUGCGGCGGAACACCGAUGGCGAAGGCAGCCCCCUGGGCUGAGAUUGACGCUCAGGCACGAAAGCGUGGGGAGCAAACAGG